GACAUCAAUUCCGCCGCUUUUACAUGAUAAGAAAUCAUGGAAGUUGUGAAAAUCUGGUUAGCUGUGACAUGUUUAUUGCUUAUCUAUUCUGAAGCCAUGCCCUUCUGUGACAACAAAGAACAUGUGGUUGGUGGCAAUGAAACUUCAUGGACCAUUCCACCGUCCAAUUAUUCUUUCGACAGAUGGGCAAUUAGAGAGUUCGUAGAGGGCGAUAAUCUCACUUUCAGGUACGAUAACAAGAUUGAUUCAGUACUUGAAGUAAGUAGGUCGGACCAUAAAGCCUGUGAAACAUCGAAACCCAUAAAAGAAUACAGAGAUGGUAACACCACCAUCGAAUUAGAGUGCUGUGGACGUGUCUACUUCAUAAGUGGAGCUCCAGGGCAUUGUCAGAAAGGACAGAAACUAGGUUUCGAGGCGGCCAGAUGGGUCUUACCCUGGGAUAACAGAUACCAUCAGGACUGACAUAUAACUCUUCCCCUUGUCGACAUCAAUUCCGCCGCUUUUACAGGAUAAGAAAUCAUGGAAGUUGUGAAAAUCUGGUUAGCUGUGACAUGUUUAUUGCUUAUCUAUUCUGAAGCCAUGCCCUUUUGUGACAACAAAGAACAUGUGGUUUUGGUGGCAAUGAAACUUCAUGGACCAUUCCACCGUCCAAUUAUUCUUUCGACAGAUGGGCAAUUGGAGAGUUCAUAGAGGGCGAUAAUCUCACUUUCAGGUACGAUAACAAGAUUGAUUCAGCACUUGAAGUAAGUAGGUCGGACUAUAAAGCCUGCGAAACAUCGAAACCCAUAAAAGAAUACAGAGAUGGUAACACCACCAUUGAAUUAGAGUCUUGUGGACGUUUCUACUUCAUAAGUGGAGCUCCAGGGCACUGUCAGAAAGGACAGAAACUAUGUUUAUAUGUCAAUCCUGAUAGUAUCUGUUAUCCCAGGGUAAGACCCAUCUGGCCGCCCCGAAACCUUUUGGUUAGUUAAUAAACAAAAUCAAUGAAAAGUACCAAUAGUUUAUAUGAAUAAAAUUGUUGAUUAUUAUGAAUAAAACAACCUGUACGGGUGAAUCAAGAGAAAGACCGAUAUUAUAUUUUUUGUUUUAGGAAAAAAAUUACUGAAAAAGAAAA